rnacentral:rRNA from 1 species
UACGUAGGGCGCAAGCGUUGUCCGGAAUUAUUGGGCGUAAAGAGCUCGUAGGCGGCCUGUCGCGUCUGCUGUGAAAUCCCGGGGCUCAACCCCGGGCCUGCAGUGGAUACGGGCUGGCUGGAGGCAGGCAGGGGAGAACGGAAUUCCUGGUGUAGCGGUGAAAUGCGCAGAUAUCAGGAGGAACACCGGUGGCGAAGGCGGUUCUCUGGGCCUGUACUGACGCUGAGGAGCGAAAGCGUGGGGAGCGAACAGG